GAUGAAGAACGCAGCGAAAUGCGAUAAGUAAUGUGAAUUGCAGAGUUCAGUGAAUCAUCGAAUCUUUGAACGCACAUUGCGCCCGCCAGUAUUCUGGCGGGCAUGCCUGUCCGAGCGUCAUUUCAACCCUCGAACCCCUCCGGGGGUCCGGCGUUGGGGAUCGGGAACCCCUAAGACGGGAUCCCGGCCCCGAAAUACAGUGGCGGUCUCGCCGCAGCCUCUCAUGCGCAGUAGUUUGCACAACUCGCACCGGGAGCGCGGCGCGUCCACGUCCGUAAAACACCCAACUUCUGAAAUGUUGACCUCGGAUCAGGUAGGAAUACCCGCUGAACUUAAGCAUAUCAAUAAGCGGAGGA
rnacentral:misc_RNA from 1 species